UUUCACUUCUUCCUCUGCCUAAUCCUGCCUUCCCUGCCUUUUGUUCACAGCCAUUAUUCUCUUAAAAAAACACAUCUUGUUCCCAACAUCCAUCUAAGUGUCUCCUCUAGAGAACUCAUUCCAUUUCAAGCUCUGAAGGGAUCUCGGAGACAGAGAUGAAGACUGCCUUCCAGUCCCUGCAGCUGAUGCUCAGACAGCAACUUGCAGGUAAGGGACUGUCCUGAAGCCACCCCUGGUGACAGGUAGGGAAAGCAGGGCUGCCAUAUGGCAAGUAGAGAGAGAAACUCUGACCUAGAGUUUGCAAAGCAGAGCCCUUUCAGGGACUGAUGGAUCCUUGGCUGUAAAGGUUUGGAGCAUACAGGACAGGCACAGCCUGCUAACAUUGGACACAGGUGUGGUACACAGAGUCCAGGAGAGAGCAUAGUAAGAAGCUGAGGAGAGAUCUGCAGAUGACAGUGGCAGGCCCUGUGUUUACCUGGCCUGUUGAUUUGUCUGUCUCACCUCCCUGCCCACUUACCCUGGCUCUUUCCAUGGCAGUGACUACGUGCUGCUCCUUGUGAUCACUACAGUAGCCAGCAUAGAGCAUAUAUGUAGGAAACAUGUUCGUAGAAAGACUAAAUAAAAAAAAAAAACAGUACUUAAAGUAGCCAAGAAGGAGGCCCUUUAGCUCAGAUGAGCCCUAAGCUUUUCAGUAAUACCUCAAGAAUCAGCGUGGACUCCUGGAGGUGGUCAGUAAUAAGAGUGGCACCAGUGAUCACUGGGGUGAUUUGGUGGAACAAGAGUUUCAAGGAAUCUGUGUAUGGCUUUGGUUAAAAACCACGGGGGUCUUUUGCUGUGUUUUGUUUCUUGUGGCUGGCAUAGCCUGCAAAAUAAGUGGUAUAUCUGUUUGUCACAUGGAUAAGUGGAUGAAUGGAGGGAUAGAAAUUAAAAAAAAGAUACAGAAUGAGGGAGGCAGAUAACCUCUUUUGUAGUAUAUGGGUUAUGAUGCUUUUGCCUGAAAAUGAAAGAAUAUAGGACUGAAAAUGCGAAGUUUAUUAUCUUAUAUAAGAAGUCCAGUGACAGACUCCUCCAGGAUUGUUCUAUGGUUCAGUGAUGUUAUCCAGGGCCCAGUUUCUUUUGGUUUUUGUGUGUUGGCAUUCUCCUCUGAAGUGAAUUGAUUCACAGCCCACUCCUCACGGCUGCAAGAUGGCAGCAGCAGCCUGAAGUGUCAGAUUCUCAGAAAAAUAGUCUCCAGGGUAAGAAAAGAAGCUGUUCCUUCUUACAUCUUUUUUCUCAAGAGAAAGAAAAGCUGUAUCUGUCCUAAAAGAAUGGAUUGUACUGCAGUAACAAAUAACUUCCAAACCUUAGUGGCUUAAAAACAAUAAAAGUUGGUUGGUUGCUCAUUCUCCAUGUCCCACACAGAUUUGCUGCCUCACUGUAAUAGACCCAGACUGGUCCAUUGUUGGGGCUCUCAUCUUUAAAAGAACUUGAAGUUUUGUGGUGGUAAGGGAAGAGAAGGCUGCUGGUACAUUUUUGGGCCUGAAGAAGUUUCCUCUUAGAGUUCGUGUGACUUUCUCUUAGAUUUGUUUGGCCGGAAUGUGGCCCUGGCCCUGCCUCACUUAUAGGGGAGAGGGAGGCACAGUUUUCCAUGUACCCAGAAGUAGAGGAGAACUAGAUAUUAGUGAGCAUUACCUGUGUCUUCCAAAACAGCUUUUCCAAGAAGUUCCAAGCCUCUUUGCCCUCUUUGUCCAGAAUUGGGUCAUGUGAUCACGACUAAAUUAAAACCUUAUCCAGGAGAAUGGAGUAACUGUCUACCCUGUGGGGCAAAGACACAUUUGUGCCAGCAAGUCAGGAAGCACACUGAUCUGGGUAAGCAAAUAUCAGUACCCACUGCUUGCUAUUAAAGGACUUGUUUGGCAAUACCCGUGAGUCAAUUUGAAAGGUGUUUGUUUUUUUUUUAACUCAGUGUGAAUUUUAUUUUAUUUUAUUUUAUUUUACUUUAUUUUUUAUGAUUUUUAUUUUUCCAUUAUGAUUUUUAUAUUCUUUUUCUUACAUUAUCCUCCAUCAUGUUCCAUCACAAGUGACUGGGUAUAGUUCCCUGUGUUAUACAGCAAGAUCUCAUUGCUUAUCCACCCCAAAUGCCAUAGUUUGCGUCUAUUAACCCCAGACUCCCAAUCCAUCCCACUCCCUCCCUGAAAGGUCUUUCAUGAGAGGGUUUCCUUUCAAAUUUGGAGAAUCAUGGCUUCUGUGGGUGACCACCAUGCUCACUGACCAUUCCUUAACUUUCAUGGUGGAAUUGAGCCAAAAUAGAUCCUGCAGUGGAUACUGUUAAGGAUUUUGCCUUCAUCCCCCUAAUAGCUUUGAGGGAUGAAUGAUGAACGUUAGACAGUAAGAAAAGCUCUGGAUUGUUAGAUUUCCCAGAAAAAUGAAUUCAAAAAGCAACCAAACAAAAGUCUCUGAAGGAAGGUAAAGACUCCUCUUACUCAGUUCAUGAGGGACCGUUGAAUUCAGAAGGUUCUUUUAGUUUCUUCCUCUCCCUUUCUCUCUACCCAUCCAUCCCUCUCAUAAUGCAAAACAGCAUAAAGUACAUUACCCAAUUUUGCCAUGGUUUUAGUCCUCAGAUGUUUAUGAUUCUGUGGCAGCAUGGGGGCAACUGAAGUGAAUGGCUGAAAGGGGAAGGGGGGAAUUGCAGCAGAUGGUUGAAAUUCCAGAAAAGCCAGCCACGGCACCCCCACGAAGAUUUCAAUGGUGCUAUUUCGAGGUGGGUACAAACCUGGAAGUUUUUUUACUUACAGCCUCCUUAAAAGAAAAAGCAGAGGGUUGGUAGAAGAGCCUAACGUUUCUAGUACCAACUUGAUCCAGCCCCCAAACAGGCAUGCAGUGUGUGUGUGUGUGUGUGUGUGUGUGUGUGUGUGUGUGUGUGUGACAUAUGGCAAUUUGAAACAGUUAAACAUAUGAAGAAUGUUUUUCAUUCACAGAUGGUUUAAAAAAAAAGGCAUUUAUUUUUUCAUAUAACACAUUCCCGGAGUUUGGAGCCAAGUGCCUCCAGGGAGGGUCACAAAUCCACUUGGUGCCCUCAACGACUCAGGUUUAUGUUUGAAGGUCUGCUUCAGCAGAAAGAUGAGUAAAAUUGUGGUUAAGUCAGACAUUCCCUGGUGGCUCUGGGGGCCUAGGGGCACUGGUUAUUUCAACAAGGCUAUAUGAAAAAGUCCAAUUCGUAACAUUUGCUUGAGAUGGAUCCACCUGUUCAAGGCAGCCGAAGGAACAAAAUUUAUCCAUUGGGCUAAAUCCUUCUCAUGGCACUUAGCCGGCGCCUGGUACCACAGCUCUUCUGGGGCUGCAGAGAGGGGGAUGGAGGUGGUUUUCCUGUGGUAACUACAUAGUCUUUCUCUCCACUGAGUAAAGCGUUGCUGCUUUCCAAGGUUUUUCCUGCUGUUAUGAGAGCAAAUUGGGUAUCCAGAGUGUCCAAUCAGGGCAUCAAGGCUCUGCACGAUUUGCAAAGACAAUUAUUCCACAGAGGCUUUUGACAGUGGGAAAGGAGAGUUAAUUAAAUCUCAUUGUAAAAUUAAAGAGCAUAACUAUAUAUUUUAGAACUAGUGCAAUUAUGCCUUAUCUUGGAGUGUUGUAAAUUCUUUGUGACUGUGAUGUAUUAUCAGAAAUUUUCAUAGAAUUUUAGAACUCCAGGGGCUUUAGAGAUCAUGAAGUAGAGCAACUUCCUUUUAUAAAGAUGAAAACAGACCCAGAGAGGUUAUGCGACAGACUAAAACCUAUAACAAGCCUCCUGACGCAAAACCGGGCACUCUUGGCAUUUCGUUUGAUUUGCAUUUUGCACGGAGAUGAAGGCAAAACCAGGUGAAAAUAGCAGAUGGUCAAAAUAGCCUCUGAAAAUCUCUUAGAAAGUCACCAUGCUGGAAACAAACACGCGUCCUCCAUUGAGUCCAACACGGCCAAGUUUUCCUUCAGAGGAGAACGUUGUUCUUCAGUUAUGCACCAAUGAACUAGUGGGUUGGGAGAUAGAAGCCCUGUUGUGUAGAGAAGCGGUCUUUUAAGGUCAAAAAUCACCGUUUGUAAAGAUGUUCCAACCAUGAGAGCCCAGAACUCAUGGACCAGGAGAGUCCUUACUUCAGUGAAGAUCCAAGCAGACACUGCCAUCUCCAAACUUUCUCUGAGCUUCACCUCUCUGGUACUUUGCCCUGUGAACCUUGCCUUCCCUGGCCUCUCAGAAUUCUGACCUCUGUCUCCUCAACUUAGCAAGUCUGUGGGCUCUUUCGAGUCUCCCUCCCUGGGCCAGAACCUGAAGACUCUCCCCAGGCACUAGGCUACGGCCACCACAGCCUCCCCUUAGUUGUUUCUCUCCUUUCUGGGUUUACUGUUGUGUUAGGGUUCUCCAGAAAAAAAAAGAACCAAUAGAAUAUGCUUGUGAGAUUUAUUAUGGGGAAUUGGCUCAUGCAUUUAUGGAGGCCAACAGGUCCCAAGAUCUGUAGUCAGCAAGCUGGAGACCCAGGAGUGCUAAUGGUGUAGUUUUGGUACAAGACCAGAUGCUUGAGAAGAAGAUGGGAUAGUUCUAGUUGAAAGCUGGCAGACUUGAGGUCCAGGAAGAGCCAAUAACAAAUGAGAUCCUGCUGUAAAGCACAGGGAGUUAUAUCUAAUCACUUGUGAUGGAACAUGAUGGAGGAUAAUGUGAGAAAUAGAAUAUAUGUGUGUGUGUGUGUGUGUGUGUGUGUGUGUGUGGUGUGUGUGUGUGUGUGUGUGUGUGUGUAUUAUGAGUUCCUUUGUGGCUCGGUGGUUAACAAACCCAACUAGGAUCCAUGAAGAUGUGGGUUCGAUCCCUGGCCUCACUGAGUGGGUUAAGGAUCCAGUAUUGCUGUGGCUAUGGUGUAGGCGGUGCAGCUCCAAUUUGACCCCUAGCCUGGGAACCUACAUAUGCCA
rnacentral:lncRNA from 1 species